AAAAGAACCUUUGGAGAGAGAGUUAAAAGGACGUGAAACCGUUGAAAGGGAAACGCGCUCGGCUAGCAAUGCACGCCUGUGGUUCAGCCGGCUAGUCCUGUGCGUCGUCGUGUGGCGGAUCCGAACGGACCGUCCGCGGCGACGGCGCUGGGCGAGCUGUGGUGCACUCCAUGGGCAUGCGCGUCAGCGUCGGUUCUCGGCGAGUGAUGAGGUGCCGGGGGAAGGUGGCUCGCCUUUUCGGAGGGGAGUGUUAUAGACCCUGGUGCUGGGCUCGUUGUGGACCGAGGAGAGAGAUGAUCGCUGCGGCACCUGCCUCUCGGGGCUAGCCAGCUGUUGUCAGAUGUGUGUCAGGCGUUGAGGACUGCACGCAGUGCUUGGUGUCUUGGCGUGGUCUGGUGGUGGUGUGGGUAUAGAGGUGCCUAGGACGCUGGCGUCCAAAUGGCCGUGCGCGACCCGUCUU
rnacentral:rRNA from 1 species